rnacentral:rRNA from 1 species
AGUGAACGCUGGCGGUAUGCCUAACACAUGCAAGUCGAACGGCAGCACAGUAAGAGCUUGCUCCUACGGGUGGCGAGUGGCGGACGGGUGAGGCAUACAUCGGAAUCUACUUUUUCGUGGGUGAUAACGUAGGGCAACUUACGCUAAUACCGCAUACGACCUACGGGUGAAAGCAGUGGAUCUUCGCACCUUGCGCGAUUGAAUGAGCCGAUGUCGGAUUAGCUAGUUGGCGGGGUAAAGGCCCACCAAGGCGACGAUCCGUAGCUGGUCUGAGAGGAUGAUCAGCCACACUGGAACUGAGACACGGUCCAGACUCCUACGGGAGGCAGCAGUGGGGAAUAUUGGGCAAUGGGCGAAAGCCUGAUCCAGCAAUGCCGCGUGGGUGAAGAAGGCCUUCGGGUUGUAAAGCCCUUUUGUUGGGAAAGAAAAGCAGCAGGUUAAUACCCCGCUGUUCUGACGGUACCCAAAGAAUAAGCACCGGCUAACUUCGUG